rnacentral:rRNA from 1 species
GACGAACCGUGCGAACGUUGUUCGGAAUCACUGGGCUUAAAGGGCGCGUAGGCGGGCCGUCAAGUCAGGGGUGAAAUCCCACGGCUCAACCCUGGAAGUGCCUCUGAUACUGACGGCCUCGAGGGAGGUAGGGGCGUGCGGAACUUCCGGUGGAGCGGUGAAAUGCGUAGAGCUCGGGAAGAACAUCGGUGGCGAAAGCGCUCUACUGGACUGCAACUGACACUCAGGGACGAAAGCUAGGGGAGCGAAUGGG